UGGGGAAUAUUGCACAAUGGGCGCAAGCCUGAUGCAGCCAUGCCGCGUGUGUGAAGAAGGCCUUCGGGUUGUAAAGCACUUUCAGCGAGGAGGAAGGGUAGUGUGUUAAUAGCACAUUGCAUUGACGUUACUCGCAGAAGAAGCACCGGCUAACUCCGUGCCAGCAGCCGCGGUAAUACGGAGGGUGCAAGCGUUAAUCGGAAUUACUGGGCGUAAAGCGCACGCAGGCGGUUUGUUAAGUCAGAUGUGAAAUCCCCGCGCUUAACGUGGGAACUGCAUUUGAAACUGGCAAGCUAGAGUCUUGUAGAGGGGGGUAGAAUUCCAGGUGUAGCGGUGAAAUGCGUAGAGAUCUGGAGGAAUACCGGUGGCGAAGGCGGCCCCCCUGGACAAAGACUGA
rnacentral:rRNA from 1 species